ACUAACAAUGUAUAUAUACUGACGUCAGUAAAGAGUCCAUUUUUAAGAUACUAAUAUCAGGCCAAAUGAUAGCCAUCGUAAGCCUCUUCAAUAAUCUUAAUACAAUGGACAAUUUUUAUCAACAACUCUUAUCAUAAAGUACACCAAGUGAUACGUUUUUUUAAAUCAAGGAAACAAGCAUACGCAUAUCAAUAUAGAUGUAAGAGAAAUUUGUUUUAGAUAAUCUCGACUGUGCUCUCUAGUGUACAGCAAAUCCAAGUGAGAAAAGACAGAACAUGCAAGUCUGCUAGAUGCGUAAUAAGACGUUCCCUAUAAAAUGAUUAUACUAGUCUAUCAAACUACCCCACUUGUUUUGUCUUUAAAUAAUGUUUGCUUAUUUUAUAGGUAUCAGAGUCGUAUCAGCAAUAAAAUAAAACUUUUUUGAUACCUUCAAGUGUUAUUAUAAUUUAUGCAAAUUGGUAAUAAAAAUCUA